rnacentral:rRNA from 1 species
AUGAACGCUAGCGGUGUGCCUAAGAUAUGCAAGUCGAGCGGAGUGGCGCAAGCCACUCAGCGGCGGCCGGCUGAGUAACACGUGCGAACUUACCCUACACUUGAGAAUACCCCCGCGAAAGCGGGGCUAAUACUCAAUAGUUAUCUUCGGAUUAAAGGGCUUAACUGCCCGGUGAAGGAGAGGCGUGCGGACUACCAGGUUGUUGGUGGGGUAACGGCCUACCAAGCCUAUGACGGUUAGCUGAUCUUUGUCGGAUGGACAGCCAGAAUGGGACUGAGACACGGCCCAUACACCUACGGGUGGCAGCAAUUAGGAAUAGUUGGCAAUGGGCGAAAGCCUGACCACGCGACACCGCGUGUAGGAAUAAGCAUUAACUUGUGUAAACUACUGUGGUAGGGGAUAAAGUCCCGCUUAUGGCGGGAUUGAUAGUACUCUACUAGAAAGUGUCGGCUAACUGCGU